AUUGAACGCUGGCGGCAGGCCUAACACAUGCAAGUCGAGCGAGCGGCGGACGGGUGAGUAAUGUCUGGGAAACUGCCUGAUUUAGGGGGAUAACUACUCUAGACGGUAGCUACUAACGCAUACCAUCUGAUGUGCCCAGAGGGGAUUAGCUAGUAGGUGGGGUAACGGCUCACCUGGGAGACGAUCCCUAGCUGGUCUGCGAGGAUGACCAGCCGCACUGGAACUGAGACACGGUCCAGAGUCCUACGGUAGGACGCAGGGGAGAAUAGGGCAACAUGGGAGCAAGCCUGAUGCAGCCAUGCGGCGUGUGUGAAGAAGGCCUUCGGGUCGUAAAGCACUUUCAGCGGGGAGGCGUUACCCGCUGAAGAAGCGCCGGCUAACUCCGUGCCAGCAGCCGCGGUAAUAC
rnacentral:rRNA from 1 species